AUCUCCAAAUUUCAAGGAAAAAUAUGCAUGACUGCCCUGAAAAACUCAUGUUGUCUCCGAGAAAAUUUGAUAACUCUCGAAUGUACGCACGGCUUCCUUCCUUAGCACGGCAGGAUAUGAGGGGGACUUCCAAGGAGACUUCAACGAACAGCUAGAAACAUGGAGGUCACUUUCCAACUCCACGCUGACUCUGGUUCAUAUACCAUGCCUCCGUCGUCUCUGUGAUUUGCAUCGCCGGGAGUUGUGCGCUGUUCAACUACAUCUACUUGGGCGUGAGCCGCGCGGUCGGGGUGGCGGCCAUGUUCGGCAUUUUCACCGUUUGCAGUUUCGCCGCCGCCAUCUUCUCCUGGCUUUACGUAUUCGAGACGAAGAACAUGUCUCUCUCGGAGAUCCAAGCCAUCAUGACAGGGCGACAACGAACUGGCAGCAGGCCAUCGCACGAGUUGAACGAUCUAUCUUAGCUUAUUUCAUCUGAGAUCUUCUCGUAUAACCGAAUCAGGGUGGCCUAGGGUGCGGCUUAUUUUCGUCAUGUCGGAAAAUCGACGAGGUCCGGGUGGCAAUCGAUGAUACCUAUGAAAAUAAUAGGCUGUAUUAAAUUUGAGCCAAUUUGAAGCUUUUUUAGCUGAUGCUCAAAGGGAUCAAAACUAAGGGGCAAAAUUACAUUGGUUUAAAUGGGCGGAAAAACGCCUGAUCUGCGCAAAUGCGUUUUUUGGAUCUAAAAUGCGCUUGAAUGAAGAAAACCUGGCCAACUCUUAUUCAGGCAUCUAGGGGCCCAUUUGAAACGAGAAAAUCACACUUUUGACCCAUGGGUGAGGGUAGGGGGUUCCGGCGUAGCCGGUUUUGAGGCGCUGCGCCCGGAGUUAAGAAUUCGCUUCUGAUCGAACUCAAAAUACGUUUUCCAAAGUUGAAGAGGCAAAUUUAUCUCACAACUUGAUGAGAAAUAAUGUAUAAUAGUUGUUUUAGCCCUUGAGAACUAUACUUGGCCCUUUACAAUGUUACCUCACAUACUAUUUCUCGAGCCUGGAACGAAAUUGGUGUAUAUAUUUUAUCUUGCAGUCGAGUGAUCCCCUUACCCUCACCCAUGGUUCAAAAGUGUGAUUUUCUCGUUUCAAAUGGGCCCGUAGAUGCCUGAAUAAGAGUUGGCCAGGUUUUCUUCAUUCAAGCGCAUUUUAGAUCCAAAAAACGCAUUUGCGCAGAUCAGGCGUUUUUCCGCCCAUUUAAACCAAUGUAAUUUUGCCCCUUAGUUUUGAUCCCUUUGAGCAUCAGCUAAAAAAGCUUCAAAUUGGCUCAAAUUUAAUACAGCCUAUUAUUUUCAUAGGUAUCAUCGAUUGCCACCCGGACCUCGUCGAUUUUCCGACAUGACGAAAAUAAGCCGCACCCUAGGGUGGCCUCAGUCAGGGAAUUUGUCGCUCCUCUGACGUAACGUAACUCAAUUUCCACGUGCGCCCUGUUUUACAUAGAAAUCCAUGCUUUCUGGGGCUCAUGAGAAAAUCGAGAUACGCCCUUACGUCGGAGGGGCGACGAAUUAUGAAAAGUCAGGGAAACCUGGAAAUGUUGGGAAAAUGACAUAGGCAAUUGUCAGGGAAAAAUGUUUAAGUCGAUUUUAUUUGCCUGCGAGAUUGGGUUUUUGGAUGUUUCGGAAACCGAAUUUCGCCUGCCAACUAUUCCGAAGUAUGUCUAUUUAAUCAUUCGGCUUAUCUUCAAUUCUGCCGUGCUAAGGAAGAACGUCGUAUGAACUUUCGGACGUUGCCAAGUUUUCUUCGAUAAAAACCGGAUUUACUAGAAAAACUGUGAAUAUUUUCCCCCAAAAUUUUCAGGCAAUUUUGUACGCAAUUUAAUCUAAAAUA
rnacentral:lncRNA from 1 species